rnacentral:rRNA from 1 species
AACGAACGCUGGCGGCAGGCCUAACACAUGCAAGUCGAGCGGCAGCGGGAAAGUAGCUUGCUACUUUUGCCGGCGAGCGGCGGACGGGUGAGUAAUGCCUGGGAAAUUGCCCAGUCGAGGGGGAUAACAGUUGGAAACGACUGCUAAUACCGCAUACGCCCUACGGGGGAAAGCAGGGGACCUUCGGGCACUGCGUGAUUGGAUAUGCCCAGGUGGGAUUAGCUAGUUGGUGAGGUAAUGGCUCACCAAGGCGACGAUCCCUAGCUGGUCUGAGAGGAUGAUCAGCCACACUGGAACUGAGACACGGUCCAGACUCCUACGGGAGGCAGCAGUGGGGAAUAUUGCACAAUGGGGGAAACCCUGAUGCAGCCAUGCCGCGUGUGUGAAGAAGGCCUUCGGGUUGUAAAGCACUUUCAGCGAGGAGAAAAGGUUGAUGCCUAAUACGUAUCAACUGUGACGUUACUCGCAGAAGAAGCACCGGCUAACUCCGUGCCAGCAGCCGCAGUAACAC